UAUACAUAUAUUUUCCUUUUAAAGAUUUUGAUUGAGGAGUUACCUUAGAGUUAUAGGGUUAUAUAUUCUGCAAAUUUUAUUUUAAAUACGAUUCUGGUCUGGUAUUUUUGAAAUCAAAUCCUAAAGGGAAUAAAUUGGAUCUCGGAUACCCCUGUGCGUCUGGUGUGAACGUUUGACCUCUAAAUUCGGAACAGUAGAGAUAUAUCUGUUCAACUGUUUGAUGGAUUCGCCGUCUCUUUCUUUGCCGACAGAGAACGGGCGAAAAUUGACUGUAAAUAAUAUUGUACGGAAAGUUAACAGCUGCAAAUGAGUCAUUGUCAAAACUCUAACAGAUCAGCAAAGAGGUAUUUGAAGAGUGGAUUGGUGAUUUUUGAAGAGUGGAUAUAAAUUUGCCCUAGUUUGAUCAAAGAAUGAGAAAGUACAAUGUUAAGAACUGCAAAAGAGUCAUUGUCAAAGUAUAACAGAUCAGCAAAGAGGCAUUUGAAGAGUGGAUGUAAAUUUGCCCUGAUUUGAUCAAAGAGUAAGAAAGUACAAUGUUAACAGCUGCAAAUGAGUCAUUGUCAAAGUAUAACAGAUCAGCAAAGAGGUAUUUGAAGAGUGGAUGUAAAUUUUCCCCGAUUUGAUCAAAGAAUGAGAAAGUACAAUCGAAAAUUGAAAGCUUGUACUGAAUCAUGGCGGGAACAAUCUACAUUUGGUCAUGUACAGGAUGAUCAGGAAACUGUUAUUUACGGAGCGAGAGCAAAUUGACGUUUCGUGACUGCCUCCAAAGACAAGAUUCUGCUAACGUUUCAAAGACUUUCAGGUCUGUAAGCAGUGGAAAUCGAGACGUUUCGUGGCUCCGUACAAAGACAGGAUUCUGCUAACGUUUUAAAGACUUUCAGGUCUGUACGCACUGCAAAUCGUGACGGUGAAUAUUUAAAAUUGACAAAAAUGUUUGUGGAUGCGUUUGAAGAAAACAAAUUAAUUUUGUUCGGCACACGUGAAGAAUAAAUUUGGCAUAUGUAUGCUUGUUUGGAUCAAAUGCAUAGCUUCCAACUCAUUGAAAACCUAGUUGUUUGUCUUAUGCAUAAGCUGAGACCUGUAACUUUUUUGUUUUAAGGUCAGAAAUCCUUGCUGUUAUAGUUUAAAUACAGUCUGUUUUAUUGUACAUACAAUAUAUGUCCACUUCAAAUUUAUAA